rnacentral:tRNA from 1 species
GCCUGGGUGGCUAAGUUGGUUAAGUGUCCAACUUCAGCUUGGGUCAUGAUCUCAUGGUCCGUGAGUUCGAGCCCCACGUUGGGCU